CCCAGACUCCUACGGGAGGCAGCAGUGGGGGAUAUUGCACAAUGGGGGGAACCCUGAUGCAGCGACGCCGCGUGGGUGAAGGAGCGUUUCGGCGCGUAAAGCCCUAUCGGCAGGGAAGAAGGAGGACGGUACCUGACUAAGAAGCCCCGGCUAACUACGUGCCAGCAGCCGCGGUAAUACGUAGGGGGCAAGCGUUAUCCGGAUUUACUGGGUGUAAAGGGGGCGCAGACGGCAGCGCAAGCCAGGAGUGAAAGCCCGGGGCCCAACCCCGGGACUGCUCUUGGAACUGCGCGGCUGGAGUGCAGGAGGGGCAGGCGGAAUUCCUGGUGUAGCGGUGAAAUGCGUAGAUAUCAGGAGGAACACCGGUGGCGAAGGCGGCCUGCUGGACUGCGACUGACGUUGAGGCCCGAAAGCGUGGGGAGCAAACAGGAUUAGAUACCCCCGUACC
rnacentral:rRNA from 1 species